rnacentral:rRNA from 1 species
GAUGAACGCUGGCGGCGUGCCUAAUACAUGCAAGUCGAGCGAACAGACGAGGAGCUUGCUCCUCUGACGUUAGCGGCGGACGGGUGAGUAACACGUGGAUAACCUACCUAUAAGACUGGGAUAACUUCGGGAAACCGGAGCUAAUACCGGAUAAUAUAUUGAACCGCAUGGUUCAAUAGUGAAAGACGGUUUUGCUGUCACUUAUAGAUGGAUCCGCGCCGCAUUAGCUAGUUGGUAAGGUAACGGCGUACCAAGGCGACGAUGCGUAGCCGACCUGAGAGGGUGAUAGGCCACACUGGAACGGAGACACGGUCCAGAGUCCUACGGGAGGCAGCAGUAGGGAAUCGUCCGCAAUGGGCGAAAGCCUGACGGAGCAACGCCGCGUGAGUGAUGACGGUCUUCGGAUCGUAAAACUCUGUUAUUAGGGAAGAACAAAUGUGUAAGUAACUAUGCACGUCUUGACGGUACCUAAUCAGAAAGCCACGGCUAACUACGUG